AACAAACUUGUCUUACUAAGGCCAACUCUUCAUUCUCAAGAUUUUCAGCAAAGUAUUUUUCUGAAGUUAUUGCAGAUUUAUCUGGUCCUCAGAGGUUUAUCAUUGAGAAAUAUGGGUUUGCAAAUUUGCUUCUGUUUGAUGUUAAAUCUGCACCUAAGAAGCUUGCGUCAUGGGUUGCCAAGAGAUUUGAUUUGAGCUCAUCUGAAAUCAUUCUUAGAGACAAAGUUAUUCCAGUCACAGAGCAUAGUGUUACUGUCGUGCUUGGUUUGCCAACUGGACGAAGAGAUUUUGGGAAGAAUUUCGAUAUUGGGAAAGAAAUAAUUCUCUCAAGAUUUGGUUUGUCUGUACUUCCUUCUGUGAAAUUUUUUGGUGAUCUUUUGAAGCAUAAUAAAGACAUGGCUGAAGACAAAGUGAUUACUUGUUUCUUGAUUGUUGCGCUUGCUUGUUUCUUGUGUCCCAAUUCAUCAUUAGUCCCAAGUGUGAAGUAUCUUACCAUCUUUGAAGAUAUUAAAGCUUUGGAUUCUUAUAAUUGGUCAAAGUUUGUGUAUGAGUGGCUCUUGAUUCAUAUCAAAAAGUUCCAAAAGUCAAAGAACUUGGGUGGUUGCUUACAUAUUUGGGCUAUUUUGUACCUCGAUUUUGUUGAUUUUGGUCAGAGAUGUGUUCCUAAAGGAAUCCCUCGUAUCUCAGCCUAGAACGAUGAUUUGAUUGCUACGUUUUCUGAUUUAGACAAAAUUGAUGACACCACUUAUGGACUUAGGCCACUGAAGUCUGUCCUACUACAGGAACAAAUGCUUUCAUUCCAUCACAAACUUGAUUCAGCUAUUGGGAAUUUUUUGUCUGAUAGUUUGAAAGAUUUUGCGAUAAGCUUACCAGUCACUGUUCUAUAAAUCAUGUCUCUGAUAGUCUGUCAUGUGAAGAUGUUAUUCUCAGCAUUUUACAGAUGUUGCAUGACUCUAGUUCAUCUGAAACAGUUCAACUUGACAGUCAUAAUAUUGCACACACAGCUACAGCCAAUGCUUCAUUUCAAACUGAUAAGCAACAUGUUGGAUUUAACAAUCACUCAUUUCAAUUUAAUGAAAAGCGAACUCCUCACAGUAAAUCUUAUGCUGAACAUUCUGUUGGAAACCACCCAUUGUCAACUGAAGAUUUUGCUCCUGUAAGUGUCCCCUUAUAUAUAUGUAUACAUGCUUUGU